AUUGAACGCUGGCGGCAGGCCUAACACAUGCAAGUCGAGCGGAGCGGCGGACGGGUGAGUCAUGCCUAGGAAUCUGCCUGGUAGUGGGGGAUAACGUCCGGAAACGGGCGCUCAUACCGCAUCCUCUCAGAUGAGCCUAGGUCGGAUUAGCUAGUUGUUGGGGUAAAGGCCUACCAAGGCGACGAUCCGUAACUGGUCUGAGAGGAUGAUCAGUCCCACUGGAACUGAGAAACGGUCCAGACUCCUACGGGAGGCAGCAGUGGGGAAUAUUGCACAAUGGGCGAAAGCCUGAUGCAGCGACGCCGCGUGGGGGAUGAAGGGUUUCGGGUUGUAAACCUCUUUCGGUAGCGAACGGGUAGGUGGAGAAGAAGCGCCGGCUAACUACGUGCCAGCAGCCGCGGUAAUUC
rnacentral:rRNA from 1 species